UACGAAGGGGGCUAGCGUUGUUCGGAAUUACUGGGCGUAAAGCGCGUGUAGGCGGGUCUUUAAGUCAGGGGUGAAAUGCCAAGGCUCAACCUUGGAACUGCCUUUGAUACUGGAGACCUUGAGUCCGGGAGAGGUGAGUGGAAUUGCGAGUGUAGAGGUGAAAUUCGUAGAUAUUCGCAAGAACACCAGUGGCGAAGGCGGCUCACUGGCCCGGUACUGACGCUGAGGUGCGAAAGCGUGGGGAGCAAACAGG
rnacentral:rRNA from 1 species